rfam:Pantoea sp. PSNIH1 plasmid pPSP-26e, complete sequence.
AUCUAUGGUGGCGUUGGCGGGGCUACCUUCGGGUAGGCCGGUUUUCUUGUGCACCGGUAGUUCCAACCCUGUCAACGUCACCACCCGG